rnacentral:rRNA from 1 species
GACGUGCGAGGCAAGCGUUACUCGUCAUUAAUGGGUCUAAAGGGCGCGUAGGCGGUUCGUACAGUCAGACGUGAAAUUCCUGGGCUCAACCUGGGGGCUGCGUUUGAUACGUGCGGGCUUGAGUGCGGAAGAGGGUCGUGGAAUUCCCAGUGUAGAGGUGAAAUUCGUAGAUAUUGGGAAGAACACCGGUGGCGAAGGCGGCGACCUGGUCCGAUACUGACGCUGAGGCGCGAAAGCGUGGGGAGCAAACAGG